AACGAACGCUGGCGGCAGGCCUAACACAUGCAAGUCGAACGCCCCGCAAGGGGAGUGGCAGACGGGUGAGUAGCGCGUGGGAACCUUCCCAAAGGUGCGGAAUAGCUCAGGGAAACUUGGGGUAAUACCGCAUAAUGCCGAAAGGCCAAAGAUUUAUCGCCUUUGGAUGGGCCCGCGUCGGAUUAGCUAGUUGGUGAGGUAACGGCUCACCAAGGCGACGAUCCGUAGCUGGUUUGAGAGAAUGACCAGCCACACUGGGACUGAGACACGGCCCAGACUCCUACGGGAGGCAGCAGUGGGGAAUCUUGGACAAUGGGCGCAAGCCUGAUCCAGCCAUGCCGCGUGAGUGACGAAGGCCUUAGGGUUGUAAAGCUCUUUUGCCGGGGACGAUAAUGACGGUACCCGGAGAAUAAGUCCCGGCUAACUUCGUGCCAGCAGCCGCCGUAA
rnacentral:rRNA from 1 species